CAAUAGCGUAUAUUUAAGUUGCUGCAGUUAAAAAGCUCGUAGUUGGAUUUCGGGUGGGAAUGGCCGGUCCGCCGUUUCGGUGUGCACUUGCUACGCCCACCUUGCUGCCGGGGACGUGCUCUUGAGUUCACGCUCGGGACACGGAGUCGGCGAGGUUACUUUGAGUAAAUUAGAGUGUUCAAAGCAGGCCUACGCUCUGAAUACAUUAGCAUGGAAUAACACGAUAGGACUCUGGCCUAUCUUGUUGGUCUGUAGGACCGGAGUAAUGAUUAAGAGGGACAGUCGGGGGCAUUCGUAUUUCAUUGUCAGAUGUGAAAUUCUUGGAUUUAUGAAAGACGAACUACUGCGAAAGCAUUUGCCAAGGAUGUUUUCAUUAA
rnacentral:rRNA from 1 species